UACGGAGGGUGCAAGCGUUAUCCGGAUUCACUGGGUUUAAAGGGUGCGUAGGAGGGCAGGUAAGUCAGUGGUGAAAUCUGUGGGCUUAACCCACAAACUGCCGUUGAUACUAUCUGUCUUGAAUAUGGUGGAGGUGAGCGGAAUAUGUCAUGUAGCGGUGAAAUGCUUAGAUAUGACAUAGAACACCAAUUGCGAAGGCAGCUCGCUACACCUAUAUUGACUCUGAGGCACGAAAGCGUGGGGAUCAAACAGG
rnacentral:rRNA from 1 species